rnacentral:rRNA from 1 species
UGGGGACUACGGUCGCAAGACUAAAACUCAAAGGAAUUGACGGGGACCCGCACAAGCGGUGGAGCAUGUGGUUUAAUUCGAUGCAACGCGAAAAACCUUACCACUUCUUGACAUGGAGAUUAGAUCCUUCUUAACGGAAGGGCGCAGUUCGGCUGGAUCUCGCACAGGUGCUGCAUGGCUGUCGUCAGCUCGUGUCGUGAGAUGUUGGGUUAAGUCCCGCAACGAGCGUAACCCUCAUCCUUAGUUGCCAGCGGGUUAUGCCGGGCACUUUAAGGAAACUGCCAGUGGUAAACUGGAGGAAGGUGGGGAUGAUGUCAAGUCAGCACGGCCCUUAUGGGGUGGGCUACACACGUGCUACAAUGGUGACUACAAUAGGUUGCAAUGUCGCAAGGCUGAGCUAAUCCGUAAAAGUCAUCUCAGUUCGGAUUGUCCUCUGUAACUCGAGGGCAUGAAGUCGGAAUCGCUAGUAAUCGUGGAUCAGCAUGCCACGGUGAAUACGUUCUCGGGUCUUGUACACACUGCCCGUCACGCCAUGGGAAUUGGCUUAACUCGAAGCUGGUGCGCUAACCGAAAGGAAGCAGCCAU